AAUCUUGCGCAAUGGCCGAAAGGCUGACGCAUCGACGCCGCGUUCGGGAGGACGCCCCUCGGGGUGUAAACCGCUGUCAGGGGGGAGGAACCCCCAGCAUGGGAAUACUGUGCUGGGCUGACGGUCCCCCCAGAGGGAGCUCCGGCUAACCCCGUGCCCGCAGACGCGGUAAGACGGAGGGCGCGAGCGGUGUUCGGAAUUACUGGGGGUAAAGGGCGCGCAGGCGGACGGGCAAGUCGGAAGGGAAACCCCGGGGCUCAACUCCGGGACUGCUUCCGAUUCUGCUUGUCUAGGGACCGGUAGAGGCUGGUGGAAUUCCCGGUGUAGCGGUGGAAUGCGUAGAUAUCGGGAAGAACACCCGUGGCGAAGGCGGCCAGCUGGGCCGGAUCCGACGCUGAGGCGCGAAAGCGUGGGGAGCAAACAG
rnacentral:rRNA from 1 species